UUUUCAUUUCUGCGAGCCGCUACGGUUCUCAGACUUGGCCCCGGUCUAACAACAAACAUAGGCACAAGACGACCUCCUAAUAUCAGAAACUCAUCAUUGCGAGUUAGCCAAGGGGUGUAGUUCUUCCAAGGGAUGAGGAUAUAGGACAGUUCUAAGGGAGGAGGAUAUAGGACGGUUCUAAGGAGGAGGAUAUAGGACGGUUCUAAGGAGGAGGAUAUAGGACGGUUCUAAGGGAGGAAGAUAUAGGACGGUUCUAAGGAGGAGGAAUAGGACGGUUCUAAGGGAGGAAGAUAUAGGACGGUUCUAAGGGAGGAGGAAUAGGACGGUUCUAAGGGAGGAAGAUAUAGGACGGUUCUAAGGGAGGAGGAUAUAGGACGGUUCUAAGGAGGAGGAUAUAGGCCGAAAGAUGCUGUUAGGACAGGAAGAUUCGCGAAUGAAAGCUCAAGGCACUGUCCCUAGUCUAUAGACGUGUGCGGGUAUGUUUAUGCUGCACUCUACAAACGACCUUCACGUGUUCCAAGGUCGAUCGGGGAAUACAGCAUGAGGCUUAAUGUUGGAAUAGGAUGUUGUUAUCAUCACAAACAAAGAUGGGAGCAAGAGUUGUGAGAUAAGGUUGAGGGAGAGAAGGGUGAAGGAAGCAACAGAAUGUAGGGGAAAGAUAAGAAUGAUAAGGGGGUGGGGUGGGGGUGUCAUAUGAAUGGUGAGAGAAAUGAAGGCAGAUAUAGGAUAAAUACGCAGAUGGACAUCAGUAUGUUUGGAAUAUAACAAAUGUGUAAAUAUGCCAUAUUAAUUUAAUUCAUCAUUGAUUAUGGCUGGCCGAUUUAUUCUUCCCGUAAUAUUCAUCAGGUGUUUUAAAAAGCAUUUCAGCAAAAAUCGAACUCUGAAACAAAUUGACAAAACGAAAAAGAAAUCAACAUAGCAUAGUGUUACAACAUAAACGCUAUCAAACGUCUUAUGGGGAAGUUGUACAGUUGUCACAGUGAUCUUAUUACGGGAUAUAUUUGUUAUGAAACUGGACGUGCUUAAUUUGCCUGUUGGUUCCGUGUUGUUGUCCUUUGAGAACAUGACAUUACUUACUUAGGUAGGACGUGUUUAAUGCUAGUUAGUUUGUCUGUUGGUUCUGUUGUUGUAUACCUUGUUCUUACUUGGGAACCUUAAAUUACUUACUUGGAUUGACCGAGGUUUAUACGGCAAGCGUCGUCGAUGAAGCAAAUAUUUCCUUUGUUUUUAUUUCGCUCUGGUUUUAUUGAAUUUCAGUUUGUAUUAUAAAUCGUUUGACAUGUUGGUAUUUUCCUGUUGUGUUCUUGUUUUAAGACGAGGGGGUUAAUCCCUAUUAUGCCAGGAUAUGUUACUGUUUUGUUUUUUUUUCGUGUGUGUGAUGUCUUCCACUAACUACAUAUACCAUCGAAAUCGCUUGUGAUCUGAAAUAUUCAUUGGCUUCCAAAAUUAAAGAUAUGACCGCCAUUUUCAAUUGAACUUCCGGCGCGUUCGAUUUAAUCAUUGACUAUAUAUGACUCUGGAAUUCGCAGGAUUUACACGAAUCUUAGAAUUUGCACAAUGAGGGAUGUACCGUCGGCGCUGAGGUUUUCUAUGUUUGGAACAUUCUUAUAAACAAUUCCGAGAACAUAAUACAAGCUCUCAUAGGAUAAUUGUGUAGUUCUUGUUUAUAUUAACGCUUUGAAACCUGCGAUGUAUAUUGCAUCACAUAAUUGUUACUUCGAGGAAAGAACAAACAAAAAGGUUUCCUCUGUAAUUACCGUGUACUCCAGAAAAAUCGCUAUACCACUUAGCGGAGGUCAGAAUCAAUUGGACUGGAAACGAAAAGAUUUCAGACAAACGCUUAACAUGUACAAACAACCCUAUGUAGCCUCACAGGCAUAUAACUAUAUAUUUGUAUCCGACUUUUUAUUUCGUUUGGAAGAGUUUUAAUAUUUUUUUCUUGUCGUAUAGGAAAAUUUCGUAUGGGAUUAUAUCUUUUUGGGCAUAUUUUAAACCACUCCUGCUGCACUGAUUUUUUAAAGCGAGAUACUUACUGGUCAUCUCAAGCGUACCAGACUUUGGAAUAUUCUUUAACAGACUUUCACCAUUUGAUGUUCCGAUAACAUUCAAGUCCAAACACAACAACCAACAUACACAGAAAGUGGUACGUUCCAGAUUCCAAAUUGGUAACCUUGGGAAUAUGGCGUGUCUAGUCCUAUUUAUAUCACAUGACUUCUGCUUUAACUCGCAACGUGCGAGUUCUAUGGUGUGCAACAGUUGCUUAUCCCACUGUAUUACUUCAAUCUAUUGCACGAUUCCAUUAAAGAAGGCAUUUAAUUUUA